rnacentral:rRNA from 1 species
CCUACGGGCGGCUGCAGUGGGGAAUAUUGCACAAUGGGCGAAAGCCUGAUGCAGCGACGCCGCGUGAGCGAAGAAGGCCUUCGGGUCGUAAAGCUCUGUCCCAUGGGAAGAAAGAUGACGGUACCACAGGAGGAAGCCCCGGCUAACUACGUGCCAGCAGCCGCGGUAAUACGUAGGGGGCGAGCGUUGUCCGGGAUGACUGGGGGUAAAGGGUACGUAGGGGGCAGGAUAAGUCAGAUGUGAAAGGCAUAGGCUUAACCUGUGUAAGAAUUUGAAACUGUAUAGCUUGAGUCAAGGAGAGGAAAGUGGAAUUCCUGGUGUAGCGGUGAAAUGCGUAGAUAUCAGGAGGAAUACCAGUGGCGAAGGCGACUUUCUGGACUUAGACUGACGCUGAGGUACGUAAGCGUGGGGAGCAAACAGGAUUAGAUGCCCGGGUAGUC